UACGUAGGGGGCAAGCGUUAUCCGGAUUUACUGGGUGUAAAGGGAGCGCAGACGGCAGUGCAGGUCUGGAGUGAAAGCCCGGGGCCCAACCCCGGGACUGCUCUGGAAACUGUACGGCUAGAGUACGGGAGGGGCAGGCGGAAUUCCUAGUGUAGCGGUGAAAUGCGUAGAUAUUAGGAGGAACACCGGCGGCGAAGGCGGCCUGCUGGACCGAAACUGACGUUGAGGCUCGAAAGCGUGGGGAGCAAACAGG
rnacentral:rRNA from 1 species